rnacentral:rRNA from 1 species
GGCGUUAGGGGUAAACUGAGAAACCGAAAGGUCGAAGGGAGAAAUUCAUUCGCGUUUCGAUGUCGGCGUUAGGAGGUCGUCGUCUAUGAGACGGAUAGCGUUCGCGCGUUCCGCUCCGAUCUUCUUUCGAUCCGGCGACGAACGUGUGCACUUUUCUCCUGGUACGACGUCGCGAUCCGUUGGGUGUCGGUCUACGGCGUACGGUGGAGCCCAUCUGUCACGUUUACGCGUCGAUUGAUGGACCCGUACUGUCCCGGCCGACUCGCUCGACGGUAUACGAAUGGUUAAGGGCCGCUCUUCGGAGCGUUCGACUCUCGGCAAGCGCGUUAGAUGUUUGUCGGGAUCGGACCUAGUGCCGAUUCCGACCUCUGACGACUGUUGGCUGAGAUGUUCUCGAACAGACCCACCGAUUAAUAAAUUAACCGAUCUGCGGCGCUAUAGCUUUGGGUACUUUCAGGACCCGUCUUGAAACACGGACCAAGGAGUCUAGCAUAUGCGCGAGUCAUUGGGAAUCACUAAACCUAAAGGCGAAAUGAAAGUGAAGGUCUUCCUUGCGAAGACCGAGGGAAGACGAGCGGUUUACCCUUAAAAGUGACCGUUCCGCACUCCCGGGGCGUCUCGUUCUCAUCGCGAGAAGAGGCGCACCAAGAGCGUAUACGCUGGGACCCGAAAGAUGGUGAACUAUGCCUGGUCAGGACNAANUCGGGGGA